AAUAUUGGACAAUGGGGGGAACCCUGAUCCAGCCAUGCCGCGUGUGUGAAGAAGGUCUUCGGAUUGUAAAGCACUUUAAGUUGGGAGGAAGAGUUGUAGGCUAAUACCUUGCAAUUUUGACGUUACCAACAGAAUAAGCACCGGCUAGCUUCGUGCCAGCCGCCGCGGUAAUACGAAGGGUCCAAGCGUUAAUCGGAAUUACUGGGCGUAAAGCGCGCGUAGGUGGUUCGUUAAGUUAGAAGUGAAAGCCCCGGGCUUAACCUGAGAAUUGCUUUCAAAACUGAAGAGCUAGGGUACGGUAGAGGGUAGUGGAAUUUCCUGUGUAGCGGUGAAAUGCGUAGAUAUAGGAAGGAACAGCAGUGGCGAAGGCGACUCUCUGGACUGCAACUGACGCUGAGGCACGAAAGCGUGGGGAGCGAACAGG
rnacentral:rRNA from 1 species